rnacentral:misc_RNA from 1 species
GAUGAAGAACGUAGCGAAAUGCGAUAAGUAGUGUGAAUUGCAGAAUUCAGUGAAUCAUCGAAUCUUUGAACGCACAUUGCGCCCCCUGGUAUUCCGGGGGGCAUGCCUGUUCGAGCGUCAUUUCACCACUCAAGCCUCGCUUGGUAUUGGGCAACGCGGUCCGCCGCGUGCCUCAAAUCGACCGGCUGGGUCUUCUGUCCCCUAAGCGUUGUGGAAACUUUCGCUAAAGGGUGUUCGGGAGGCUACGCCGUAAAACAACCACAUUUCUAAGGUUGACCUCGGAUCAGGUAGGGAUACCCGCUGAACUUAAGCAUAUCAAUAAGCGGAGGA